rnacentral:rRNA from 11 species
ACCGAACCAGGGCACGUUAAAAAGUGCUUGGAUGACUUGUGGGUAGCGGAGAAAUUCCAAACGAACUUGGAGAUAGCUGGUUCUCUCCGAAAUAGCUUUAGGGCUAGCGUCGACAUUAGAGAUUCUUGGAGGUAGAGCACUGUUUGGGUGAGGGGUCCAUCCCGGAUUACCAAUCUCAGAUAAACUCCGAAUGCCAAUGAAUUAUGGUCGGCAGUCAGACUGCGAGUGCUAAGAUCCGUAGUCGAAAGGGAAACAGCCCAGACCACCAGCUAAGGUCCCAAAAUAAUUGUUAAGUGGAAAAGGAUGUGGGGUUGCACAGACAACUAGGAUGUUAGCUUAGAAGCAGCUAUUCAUUCAAAGAGUGCGUAAUAGCUCACUAGUCGAGUGACCCUGCGCCGAAAAUGUACCGGGGCUAAAACAAUUUACCGAAGCUGUGGAUACCUUUAUAGGUAUGGUAGGAGAGCGUUCUAUGUGUGAAGAAGGUGUACCGUGAGGAGCGCUGGAACGCAUAGAAGUGAGAAUGCCGGUAUGAGUAGCGAAAGACAGGUGAGAAUCCUGUCCACCGUAAGACUAAGGUUUCCAGGGGAAGGCUCGUCCGCCCUGGGUUAGUCGGGACCUAAGGAGAGACCGAAAGGUGUAUCCGAUGGACAACAGGUUGAUAUUCCUGUACUAGAGUAUGUAGUGAUGGAGGGACGCAGUAGGCUAACUAAAGCAGACGAUUGGAAGAGUCUGUCUAAGCAGUGAGGUGUGAUAUGGUCAAAU